rnacentral:rRNA from 1 species
UUGCAGGCGGAACAUGGCGUAGGUUCGCUUGGCGAUGAAGUUGGCAACCAGCAGCGACAGCGGCGUAAUCAGCACGACCAGCAGCGUGAUCGGCGCGUUCAGCGUCAGCAUGAAGCCCAGCGUGCCCAGAAUCGUCAUGAUGCCCGAAAACAACUGGGUGAAGCCCAUCAGCAGGCCGUCGGCAAAUGUGUCCACGUCGGCGAUCAUACGGCUCACCGUGUCGCCAGUCGGAUGCGCGUCGAGGUAAGAGAGGGGCAGGUUCUGAAUGUGCGCGAACGCAUCGCGGCGGAUGUCGCGCACGGUGUCAUAGGUGAUGCUGUUGUGCAGCGCGUUCAUGACCCACUGCGCCGCCGCCGCGAUGACGAUGCAGACGGCGAUGGUCAUCAGAAUUGGGGUUAGGGCGGCGAAAUCCACCGCGUUCGGGCCGACGAUGCAGUCCACCGCGCGGCCGACGAGAAUCGGCACAUACAGCGUCAGCGCGACGCUGAUGAGACACAGCGCCAGCGAGAGCACGACCAGCGAGACAUGCGGGCCGAUAUAUUGGAGCACGCGGCGCAUGACCGCGCCCUGCGAGACGAUGGAGGGCGUUUUUUUGUCCUUGGCCAUUUACUUUCCCUCCUUCUUGAACUGGGACGCGUAGAUUUCCUGAUAGAAACAGGAUUAGAUACCCUGGUAGUCCACACGGUAAACGAUGGAUACUCGCUGUUGGCGAUAUACUGUCAGCGGCUUAGCGAAAGCGUUAAGUAUCCCACCUGGGGAGUACGCCGGCAACGGUGAAACUCAAAGGAAUUGACGGGGGCCCGCACAAGCGGAGGAACAUGUGGUUUAAUUCGAUGAUACGCGAGGAACCUUACCCGGGCUUAAAUUGCAACUGACGGAAUCGGAAACGGUUCUUUCUUCGGGCAGUUGUGAAGGUGCUGCAUGGUUGUCGUCAGCUCGUGCCGUGAGGUGUCGGCUUAAGUGCCAUAACGAGCGCAACCCUUGUUGUCAGUUACUAACAGGUUUUGCUGAGGACUCUGACGAGACUGCCAUCGUAAGAUGUGAGGAAGGUGGGGAUGACGUCAAAUCAGCACGGCCCUUACGUCCGGGGCUACACACGUGUUACAAUGGGGGGUACAGAGGGCCGCUACCACGCGAGUGGAUGCCAAUCCCCAAAACCUCUCUCAGUUCGGACUGGAGUCUGCAACCCGACUCCACGAAGCUGGAUUCGCUAGUAAUCGCGCAUCAGCCACGGCGCGGUGAAUACGUUCCCGGGCCUUGUACACACCGCCCGUCAAGCCAUGGGAGCCGGGGGUACCUGAAGUGCGUAACCGCGAGGAGCGCCCUAGGGUAAAACUGGUGACUGGGGCUAAGUCGUAACAAGGUAGCCGUACCGGAAGGUGCGGCUG